rnacentral:sRNA from 1 species
UCCCUUGGUAACAGAUUGUUGCGAGCCU